UAAUUUUAUAUAUUUAAUAUUGAAACUCACGUCAUUUUCAUUACAUAAUCGAAACAGUAGUAACAUACAUAUGCAUGAAAUGCAUUUAAUAAACAAAUGACUCCUAAGCUUCACGGGUUCAGAGAAAAGUUCAUUCCCAUUUAUGAACUUAUAUAUCCUUCCUAAAAUUAACUUAUAUUUAAAUAAAUUAAAUACUUCUACAAUACUUCACUUAAUCCUACGUGGCAANUUAAAAUAACAAAAUAAUAAUUUCUGGCCUUUCAUUUGCACGAAGCUACCUCACAGCAGACUUCAAUUAUUUCUUAAACUCGUUAAUCCUUACCUAAUCGUUUCUUCUUUACUUAUAUAUAUAUAUUAAUGCCAAACUUAGAUUUCUUUCUUCAACGAGUAACCCAUCGAGUCACUUCUCAGUAUAUCUCAACCAACCAUAUCAGAAAAGAACCAUGCAACCUCUACCCUUUAACCAUUUAUCAUAAAGAUUGGUUUCUAUUAAAAUUCAUUCCCACCUAUAUUCUUGUUCCAACUUACCCUCACUGCAACCCUAUAUUUCUUUCAUGUAUAACUAAAAGAAACGUAUGAGUCAAUACUCUGUAAAUCACCGAACCACCAAAUAAACAACUUUCAGUCACCCAACCCUCGUCUUAUUCUCUUUCAUCUUUCUUUGAUUUUUAAUAUUCUCCUAGAAGUUCACGAAAUAAACCAGACGCAACCAACUCCCAUCCUAUGCACGUACUCUAAACCUAAUUCCUUCUUCAAUUUCUAUUUUACAGUAGAACAUACCUAUACUCCAUUUUCUUCACUCUUCAUCAAUCCCAGGCGUAAAACCAACCCUUUUCUCUCCUAUGUAUAUGAAUAUUACACUUUCUUCCUACCAUAAUUUAUCUAAACCCUUCCUCUGCAACGUUCCUAAAUCCUCUCUACGACUAUUUUAAAUUUCAAUACUAUAAACUCCCACCAUCCACCAUACUUCUUCUCUUUUUCUUUUCGUUCUCUACUUCCACAAACCAUUUUCCUUACGUAUACUCUAGAGACCAACUGGAACAGC
rnacentral:lncRNA from 1 species